UCUGCAUGGAGCCGACCUUGAAAUACCACCCUUUAAUGUUUGAUGUUCUAACGUGGACCCGUAAUCCGGGUUGCGGACAGUGUCUGGUGGGUAGUUUGACUGGGGCGGUCUCCUCCUAAAGAGUAACGGAGGAGCACGAAGGUUGGCUAAUCCUGGUCGGACAUCAGGAGGUUAGUGCAAUGGCAUAAGCCAGCUUGACUGCGAGCGUGACGGCGCGAGCAGGUGCGAAAGCAGGUCAUAGUGAUCCGGUGGUUCUGAAUGGAAGGGCCAUCGCUCAACGGAUAAAAGGUACUCCGGGGAUAACAGGCUGAUACCGCCCAAGAGUUCAUAUCGACGGCGGUGUUUGGCACCUCGAUGUCGGCUCAUCACAUCCUGGGGCUGAAGUAGGUCCCAAGGGUAUGGCUGUUCGCCAUUUAAAGUGGUACGCGAGCUGGGUUUAGAACGUCGUGAGACAGUUCGGUCCCUAUCUGCCGUGGGCGCUGGAGAACUGAGGGGGGCUGCUCCUAGUACGAGAGGACCGGAGUGGACGCAUCACUGGUGUUCGGGUUGUCAUGCCAAUGGCACUGCCCGGUAGCUAAAUGCGGAAGAGAUAAGUGCUGAAAGCAUCUAAGCACGAAACUUGCCCCGAGAUGAGUUCUCCCUGAGACUUAGAGUCUCCUGAAGGAACGUUGAAGACGACGACGUUGAUAGGCCGGGUGUGUAAGCGCAGCGAUGCGUUGAGCUAACCGGUACUAAUGAACCGUGAGGCUUAACCUUACAACGCCGAAG
rnacentral:rRNA from 1 species